AUUUUCUAAUUAAAAUUACUGCUGGCUGGACGAAGGUUAUUUUUGGGAAGUGUAAGGAAUGGGCUCAACUAAUUUCGUGAAUAAAAAUAAAUUGAACGGGUUUCGCGCUAAAAGUUCUAGUUUCGGCUCCGACAAGGAUAUGAACGGGAAAUUGAAGAAGAGCAAAAUAAGGCGGCCAGUUAGAAUGAAUGAUUAUGGCCUGAAGAGGAUUCCCGAUUACACUGAGUUAGCUUACAAAGAGGCUGUUUCGAAGUUGAAGUAUUUUCUCGGUGGAAACAACGCGCCAAGCCUUCGUAGUUACACCGGCUCCUCUCUCAAGAACGAUGACAUCGACGGAGAUUUGGACAAGAAGUAUCCCUUCAAUACCAUCACAGACUACAAACCACGACCACGUCUUACGGCCAAAUACACCACUCUGUACGCCGAUAGCUUGAAUAACUAUACGCCACCACAGAUAAAUACUUAUACACCUCAGCAGACUAAUAAUGCUCCGACUCCAACACAUGAUUUGUCAGGUGGAACAAAUCCAGAUGUAGUUAACUUCAUCCAGAAGCAAGAAGAGUACAUUGAACAACUUGAACGAGAGAGUCAGUAUUGUAGAGAUGAGCUGAACAACCUCUUAGGUAAAGUUAAGGAGGUGAUAUCCGAGAAUGAGCACCUUCAUGAAGCUCAGAAGAAUAAGUUGAUAACUCGCAUGUUCAACACCUACGCUGGCUCAGAAACUGAUGAUCUUGACGAUGUUGGUGAUAGUACUGGCCUGGACAGUGAUAAUAAGUGCACACCAUCAAAAGCAAGAAAGCCAAAAUCUCGCUCAACGAAACUGGAAGGACCCAACAUAGUGUUUGAAUCCCGCAUCGCCGAGCUUGAAGCUCAUCUGACCCAAGCUAAGAUCGACCUUAAGAAAGUUCAGGAAGAAAACAACGAAAAUAAACGUAAACUUGCAUCCGGUCUAGUCGAUUCUACAUGCUUGGAUGGCUUCAAACGGCAAAUUGAUAACUUGCAAAGGGACAAAUCAUCAUUGGAAUCGCAAAUUUCAAAACUGAAACUUAACUUGGAGCAACGCGAUGAUGGUGACGAUCGAUACAAACGUGGAGACGCGAUUGAGAACCAGUUAAGAGAGGAAAGGAAUAAUUUGGAAUCCGAAAUACGACGACUUAAAGACGACCUAUCAAAAGAGCGUAACAAAGUUCGAGAAUUAGCGGGCGAAACUGCCCGUCGGGCAAUACAUGAGCGUAGCGCAGCGGAACAACGCUACAAUCAGCAUUUUGACGAAUUGCAACACGAUCUCGCCGCUCAGUACGAUAAUGCCGCUAAAUUACAGUUGGACUUGGAACGCCAGCGCCGUGAAGAAAGCGAGCUCAAACGCGAAUUGUCAAUGAAGAACGCUGCUUUGGAAGAAUUAAAAAUGGAACUCAAAAAUAAGACAGCGUCCCUUCAAGCGGACUUAACUCAGGCCCAUGCUGAAAAGGCGUCUUUAGAAGAAGAGUUGGCUAACGCCCGCCUCGCCAUUGAGCGGAACCAGAGGCAAGCUAAACACGAAGCUAACCGACUUAAUUCUGAGAUACAAUCUCUUCGUCAUCGACUGGACCGUUCUGAUGCAGAUCUGGUCCAUUCACGCCGAGAAAACCUUCGGCUGUCAGAACAAAUUUCAACAUUGGAAAAAGAGAUCAAUAUGAAAUCUCUAACCCCAAUGACACCAGAAAAGAAGAAGAAAGAACGGGAGUUGUCAACGGCGCUUGAAUCGAUUGAAAAUAAACACGGCAAGAGCUGGGCACUUUGCAGCGUCAAGUAGAGAUGCUGGGUCGCUCCAUGCAAUCGACGUACGCGCACCAUCCUAGCACACAAGCACCUUCCUCGCACACUACCACACCCGACAGAAUACCAAACCCUACGACCCCAACCAGAUCAAACGAUACCAGAGCUGAGCCCGCCAGAGAGUCCCCACUCCGAGAAGAUCCUAGACCCAGUCUUGGAUAUGAAUCAACACCUGUAAUUCACCAAAAAUUAGAACUAACAAAACCUACUGAAAAUACAGAAAUGGAAUCAAAGCGACUAUUAAGUAAACAAAAUUCGCAUGAAUCGAAUAAUGGAAAGUCAUUACAUUCGUCAAAAGAUUCAAUACCGCCUGAAGCUGAACAACCUUUAGAUACAAAUGUAACAGUAGAUCCUAAACCAGAGUAUAACACUAAUGUUAUUGAAGAAACAAGCUUAAAUUACCCAGAAGAAAACCUGACCGCAAAUAUUGUUGAAGAAACAAAUUAUGAUCAAUUAGAACAUAGUGCAAAUGUUGACGCAUCAAAUAAGGAUAAACAACAAGCACCAGAAGAGAAAGACGAAAUCUCUGCACAAAAUUACGACCAAGGUUAUCAAAAUUAUGAACAAAAUUAUCAAAACCAACCAGGGACAGAAUAUCAAGGAUAUGACCAACAGUAUCCAGGCCAACAAUAUGAAAAUUACGAACAAUACCCACAACAAUCUAACGAUCCCAAUGCACAAUACGACAAUCAAUUUGAUUAUGGUAACGAAGCUAAUUACCCACAGAAUUAUGAUCAGCAAUAUAACCAAGAAUAUAACCCACAGUAUGAACAAAACGUAGUUCAAGAAAAUAUUGAAAAGUCUCCACCGUCCAACGAAAAUGAUGGUCAAAGUGGACAAAGCUAGCAAUAGAUGGUACCUGCUAUAAAUUCCUCGUAAAUUAUUAUUAAGUAUUUGGGUUACGAGAAUAUAUCUCGGGUAUAUAUAUAAUAAUUCUAGUAUGUUUAUAAAAUGUUCAGUUUUAAUUGAAACGAAAUUUAAUUUUAAUACCAAAUUACGAUUAAAGAUUUGUUUAUGUGCAAUAUAAUCAUUUUAAAUGCUUCAGUUAGUUCUGGCCAUUUUUAUUGUAAUCUAGAUUAACAAAACACCCAUAUUAAAUGAUCUGUGAAUGAAAUAAUAAUUAAUCUUUCGCAUAUAAUAACAUUUUUUACUUUUUCGAGAAUGCCACGAAUGAUAAUCGGUUAGUCGUUCCCUUAGUCGAUUAAGCAUUUUUGUAAUUUAUAUUUACUUUUUAUAUUAUAUAAUAUCAAUAGCGUAACACUAAUCUAUGGCCCUGUUACACAGAUAGCCUAUAACUAAAUAAUCACUGGAUUACUUAAUGGCCGUAAUUUCGCUAUUUUGGCAUCUCAUAACAAUCGGUUAGAUUCACAGUUUCAUAAUUAUUAUAUUAACAAUAAAUUCACAAUGUUAUUGCUCAAUUUAGAAUUGAUAGUAAAUUUGAAAUAA